rnacentral:rRNA from 1 species
AACAUAGCAUAAAGUGGAUGCCUUGACUUGAAUGUCCGAAGAAAGACGUAUAAGCCUGCGAUAAGCUUGGAGGAGUUGGCAAAAAACAUUAUUACUCCAAGAUUUCUGAAUGGGGGAACCUAAUGUAGGUAUUCUACAUUACUCUAAAAAGAGUGGAUACAAUGUGAACUGAAAUAUCUAAGUAACAUUGGAAAAGAAAUCAAUUGAGAUUCCCUUAGUAGUGACGAACGAAAUGGGAACAGCCUAAACCGUAAAUACUGUAUAGAUAGCUUUUGGUAUUAUGGGGUGUGGAAAUAAUAGUGAGAAGGCUAUUAGACUCGAUAUAGAAUAUUAUUAUUAAGAGAAUAACUUGAGAAAGUUAACCAUAGAUGGUUAAAGUCCAGUAUCAUAAAAUAAUUUUGUUUUGUAUUUAUUAUUUCCCGAGUAGGAUCAGGCACGUGUAACCUGGUUUGAAUAUAGGAGGACCACCUUCUAAGGCUAAAUAGCAUUCAAGAUCGAUAGUGAACUAGUACCAUGAGGGAAAGGUGAAAAGAACCCCGGGAGGGGAGUGAAAUAGAUUCUGAAACUUUAUGCUUUUAAAGAGUAGGAGCCUUCGGGUGACUAUGUACUUUUUGUAGAACGGACCAACGAGUUAAUGUAUAUGGCAAGGUUAAGAUUUUAUAUUCGGAGCCGUAGUGAAAGCGAGCCUUAAUAGGGCGUUUAGUCAUAUAUAUUAGACCCGAAACUGAGUGAGCUUCCCAUGAGCAGGCUGAAGCGGUGGUAAAACACUGUGGAGGGCCGAACCAUUUGGAGCUGCAAGUCCAUUGGAUGACUUGUGGGAAGGAGUGAAAAGCUAAUCGAACUCAGAGAUAGCUGGUUCUCCGCGAAAUAGCUUUAGGGCUAGCCUCGGAUUACUAUUAUGUAGGGGUAGAGCUCUGAUAGGACUAGCGGGUCUCACGACUUAGUAAAUCCUGAUAAACUUCGAAUACUACAUAAAUUAUACCGGGAGUCAGACUAUGACAGAUAAGUGCCAUAGUCAAAAGGGAAACAGCCCAGAUUACUGUCUAAGGUCCCUAAUUAACAACUAAGUGGAAAAGGAUGUGAGGUUGCUGAGACAACCAGGAGGUUGGCUUAGAAGCAGCCAUUCCUUAAAAGAGUGCGUAAUAGCUCACUGGUCAAGCGACCUUGCGCCUAAAAUUCAACGGGGCUAAAGUUGUUAACCGAAGACGUAAACUUCAUAUUUAUAUGGAUUGGUAGCGGAGCGUUCUGUAUGUCGCUGAAGGUGAAGGGUGAUCUUUGCUGGAGAUAUCAGAAGUGAAAAUGUUGGUAUGAGUAACGUAAGGGAGAUGAAAACUCUCCCCGCCAAAAACCUAAGGUUUCCUGUUCAACGUCAGUCGUAGCAGGGUUAGUCGGUCCUAAGGUAAACCUGAAAGGGGUAGCUGAUGGAUAUCAGGUUAAUAUUCCUGAACUAUUUAUAAUUUUUCUACGGGGGGACAUAUCGGGAUAUAGGAGGUAGUUAAUUACUUCUAUUACGAAAGCGAGUCUUGAAAUAUUGGAAAAUCCGUAUUUCUUUAAGGGCGAGUUAAGUUAAAUUGAUUUUAUUGAUUCAUUUCAAUAAAUGAUGUGGCUUCUAAUAUAUUCUGGUAUCAAGAAAAGCCUCUAUGAUUUAUAAUUAUAAAUAACCGUACCGUAAUCGAACACUCGUAGGUUGGUAGAGAAUACCAAGGCGAACGAGAUAACUAUGCUUAAGGAACUCGGCAAAAUAGCGGUCGUAACUUCGGGAUAAGACCUGCCUAUCUAUUAAUUUAAUUGAUAGGCCGCAGCGAAAGAGCCCAGGCGACUGUUUACCAAAAACAUAGCUCUCUGCAAACUCGCAAGAGGAUGUAUAGGGGGUGAUGCCUGCCCAGUGCCAGAAGGUUACGUGGAUGUGUGCAAGCAUUGAAACUAAGCCCUGGUGAACGGCGGCCGUAACUAUAACGGUCCUAAGGUAGCGAAAUUCCUUGUCAGGUAAGUUCUGACCCGCACGAAUGGCAUAACGGUCUGGGCACUGUCUCAAGCAUAGGCUCGGUGAAAUUGCAAUAUCGGUAAAAAUGCCGAUUACUUGCAGCAAGACGGAAAGACCCUAUGGAGCUUUACUAUAGCUUGGCAUUGGGUUAUGUUUUAAGAUGUGCAGUAUAGGUGGGAGACUGUGAAGUAUGGAUGCUAAUCUGUAUGGAGUCAAAAUUUGAGAUACCACCCUUCUUAAAAUGUAACUCUAACCUGUUAAUCAGGAACAGUGCUUGGUGGGUAGUUUAACUGGGGCGGUUGCCUCCUAAAGAGUAACGGAGGCGCGCAAAGGUUCACUAUCUUCGGAUGGAAAUCGAAGAGAUAGUGUAUUCGCAUAAGUGAGCCUGACUGAGAGACUUACAAGUCGAUCAGACACGAAAGUGGGCGAAAGUGAUCCGGCACUAAUGAGUGGAAAUAGUGUCGCUCAACGGAUAAAAGUUACCCUAGGGAUAACAGGCUGAUCGUGUCCAAGAGUUCACAUCGACGACACGGUUUGGCACCUCGAUGUCGGCUCGUCGCAUCCUGGGGCUGGAGAAGGUCCCAAGGGUAUGGCUGUUCGCCAUUUAAAGCGGUACGCGAGCUGGGUUCAGAACGUCGUGAGACAGUUUGGCCCCUAUCUGCUGUAAGCGUAUAGAAAUUUGAGAAGAUCUGCUCCUAGUACGAGAGGACCGGAGUGGACAAACCUCUGGUGUAUCGGUUGUCAGGUAUACUGGCACUGCCGAGUAGCUAAGUUUGGAAGGGAUAACCACUGAAAGCAUCUAAGUGGGAAGCCUACUUCAAGAUUAGAUUUCUCCUAGUUUAACUAGAUAAGUCCCCUUGGAGACUACAAGGUUGAUAGGUUGCAAGUGUAAGAAUAGUGAUAUUUUCAGCUGAGCAAUACUAAUGGACGAAUGAAUUUUAAUA